CCCGGUUUCCGUGUAUAAUAUUUGACCGUCCGUCUUAUUUGAAAAAAUUAUAAAAAAAUUAAAGACAAGUCACACAUAAAAUAUUAAUUAUGUUUUAUCAUCUAACAACAAUGAAAAUACGAAUUAUAAAAAAAUUUUAUAUAAGACGGACAGUUAAAAUUGGACACGGAAACUUAGGGUUUAUCUUUUU
rfam:Oryza nivara chromosome 1, whole genome shotgun sequence.